GGAAUUUUGGACAAUGGGCGAAAGCCUGAUCCAGCAAUGCCGCGUGAGUGAAGAAGGCCUUCGGGUUGUAAAGCUCUUUUGUCAGGGAAGAACAAGUACGAGAGGUAAUGCUCGUACCUUGACGGUACCUUGCGAGAAAGCCACGGCUAACUACGUGCCAGCAGCCGCGGUAAUACAGAGGGUGCAAGCGUUAAUCGGAAUUACUGGGCGUAAAGCGCGCGUAGGUGGUUUGUUAAGUUGAAUGUGAAAUCCCCGGGCUCAACCUGGGAACUGCAUCCAAAACUGGCAAGCUAGAGUAUGGUAGAGGGUAGUGGAAUUUCCUGUGUAGCGGUGAAAUGCGUAGAUAUAGGAAGGAACACCAGUGGCGAAGGCGACUACCUGGACUGAUACUGACACUGAGGUGCGAAAGCGUGGGGAGCAAACAGGAUUAGAUACCCCAG
rnacentral:rRNA from 1 species